rnacentral:rRNA from 1 species
UGGUCCUACGGGGCGCAGCAGUAGGGAAUCUUCCACAAUGGACGAAAGUCUGAUGGAGCAACGCCGCGUGAGUGAAGAAGGGUUUCGGCUCGUAAAGCUCUGUUGGUAGUGAAGAAAGAUAGAGGUAGUAACUGGCCUUUAUUUGACGGUAAUUACUUAGAAAGUCACGGCUAACCACGUGCCAGCAGCCGCGGUAAUACGUAGGGGGCAAGCGUUGUCCGGAUUUAUUGGGGGUAAAGCG